rnacentral:rRNA from 1 species
UACGUAGGGGGCAAGCGUUGUCCGGAUUUAUUGGGCGUAAAGAGCGUGUAGGCGGCUUGGCAAGUCUGCUGUGAAAACUCGAGGCUCAACCUCGAGCUGUCGGCGGAAACUGCUUGGCUAGAGUCCGGAAGAGGAGAGUGGAAUUCCUGGUGUAGCGGUGAAACGCGCAGAUAUCAGGAAGAACACCUAUGGCGAAGGCAGCUCUCUGGGACGGUACUGACGCUGAGACGCGAAAGCGUGGGGAGCGAACAGG